GACGAACGCUGGCGGCGUGCCUAAUACAUGCAAGUAGAACGCUGAAGGAGGAGCUUGCUUCUCCGGAUGAGUUGCGAACGGGUGAGUAACGCGUAGGUAACCUGCCUGGUAGCGGGGGAUAACUAUUGGAAACGAUAGCUAAUACCGCAUAAGAGUAGAUGUUGCAUGACAUUUGCUUAAAAGGUGCAAUUGCAUCACUACCAGAUGGACCUGCGUUGUAUUAGCUAGUUGGUGGGGUAACGGCUCACCAAGGCGACGAUACAUAGCCGACCUGAGAGGGUGAUCGGCCACACUGGGACUGAGACACGGCCCAGACUCCUACGGGAGGCAGCAGUAGGGAAUCUUCGGCAAUGGACGGAAGUCUGACCGAGCAACGCCGCGUGAGUGAAGAAGGUUUUCGGAUCGUAAAGCUCUGUUGUAAGAGAAGAACGAGUGUGAGAGUGGAAAAGUUCACACUG
rnacentral:rRNA from 1 species